CAGUCGCCGCGGUAAAACGAAGGGGGCUAGCGUUGCUCGGAAUUACUGGGCGUAAAGGGCGCGUAGGCGGACAGUUAAGUUGGGGGUGAAAGCCCGGGGCUCAACCUCGGAAUUGCCUUCAAUACUGGCUGUCUUGAGUAUGAGAGAGGUGUGUGGAACUCCGAGUGUAGAGGUGAAAUUCGUAGAUAUUCGGAAGAACACCAGUGGCGAAGGCGACACACUGGCUCAUUACUGACGCUGAGGCGCGAAAGCGUGGGGAGCAAACAGGAUUAGAUACCCGCGUAGUCCCUGUCUCUUAUAC
rnacentral:rRNA from 1 species